rnacentral:rRNA from 1 species
GGCGUAGGUCGAUCGCGUUUCGAGACGACUCAGCCGGGCGAUCCGUGGGCUCGAAGUCUGGUGCACUUUUUGUGACGAAGCAUUGCGACUAAAGCGAAUUCCGGUGGAAGUCGGCGUUUGAAGACAGAGCCGCGUGUUCUGUGCCUAGACUUUGGCGUUUUAUACCGGUAAGACGUUUUAGAGACUCGAGUAGUCGCCCGCAUUUCCGGGCUCGUGAAACUCUUGAGUCGGGUCGGUCGAAAUGUCUAUUCUUGCUCGCAGGAAUGGACGCCACCCGCGUUCGUACUCUGGGGUCGAUGCGAGAUGACUACGAAGGUUCGGCAAUGUCCGUGGCGGCCGCUUACCCGACCCGUCUUGAAACACGGACCAAGGAGUCUAACAUGUGCGCGAGUUAAUGGGUGUUUGAAACCCAAAGGCGAAAUAAAAGUAAAGACUGCCGUUACAGCAGUCGAGAUACGAUCCGUCUAUCUAGAGUAGGCGGCGGAGUAUCGUCCCGUCUAUGUGGUACGUCCACUGGGCGGAGAUAGAGCGUAAAUGUUGGGACCCGAAAGAUGGUGAACUAUGCCUGAGCAGAACGAAGCCAGAGGAAAC